rnacentral:rRNA from 14 species
AACUCUCAACAACGGAUAUCUUGGCUCUCGCAACGAUGAAGAACGCAGCGAAAUGCGAUACGUAGUGUGAAUUGCAGAAUUCCGUGAACCAUCGAAUCUUUGAACGCAUAUUGCGCCCGAGACUUCGGUCGAGGGCAUGUCUGCCU